rnacentral:lncRNA from 1 species
GUUCCGUCCGGGUUUGUAAUUCCGAUCCCAGUUCCCGUAAAUCUGUCUACGAUUUUGUUAGGUGACGGAGUUCGUUUUCGCAGCACACCACCCACCCCAUUUUCCCUGAGCCUAGCCGGCAAACUUUUAGUAGACAGAGAGUGCUGACGAGACGACACUUCCCGUGUCCGUUACAUAAUAAAUGGCGCCCAACGUGGGGCCCGAAUGGUCCGUUUUCCCCAAUAACCUUCCCCAAUCCCUUCCUCAACCCAAUAUUGAUCCAAAUUUUAAAGUAGUUCAGUUUUUUUGUUAUAUAUCCAGCUCGGAACCGCUGGGAAUCUGAUCAUUGUCGGACCCAGACCAGUGGAUAUAUUGCAUAGAAGAAGAUCACAUUAGACUUCAUUAUGUUGCAUUCGAAGGAGAGCGAUAUGCAAAAUACUAGAUUUGGUAGUAUUUUUUUGGAGGUUGAUAGGUCGAUAGGCGAAGGGGCAAGGCGAUCAACGGUGCCGGUGAGAGAGCGGGAGAAUGUAAAGGAGGGGAAUAUUGCGGGAUCCACGAGCCAGCUCACCCACACCCUCAAGAAUGCCAUGCUAUGCCCUUGAAUUUGGUUCAAGGGCAGUAGAAGAGAUGAGAUCAACUGCAGCAAGGGGGACUGCGUAGAGUAGCUACGCUGAACAUGCCGGCAGUGGAAAAAUAGACAUCGGCAGUGUUAGUGAGUUUUGUGUGUGUGACCGUUUAGGAAAAAGAAAGACCGGCCAACGUAGAGGACCCUUUUACCCGAAUCGAAAUAAAAAGUGAGUCCAGUCCAAAGGGAAAAUGAAUCCCAGAUUCAAUAUUUUUAAAAUCCAUAGGGCAUAAAUUGUAUCGGCUGGCUUCUCGUAGAUGGGCCAAAAUUACCAUUCCCCGGCCCGCGGAAUCCUGGUCACACCCCUGCUCGGGCGCGACCCGCCACAGCCCACCGACAAUUAAUAUAAUUAAUCUAUGCAUACAUAAACGCAUACCUAUUUACAUGCGUAUAUAAAAACACAAAAAAAUAAUAUCUGUCUAUAUUAAUUAAGAUUUAAUUAAUUUGCCACCCCAUAUAUAUUUACCGACCAUAUUAAUGUAAUAUAAAUGUAGUAUUUGUAUUUAUAUUUAUUUUAUUAUUUAUAUUUAUUAAUUUUUUUGAUUAUUCCCACCCAUUAAUUUAAGUUGAAGAGUCGGGAAUAGGCGGACGCGCCACGAGACAUUAGUAUAGGGAUUUUUAGUUAAGUAUGUGUUAAGUUUUUGGUUUAAAUAUUAUAACGUUUAAAAUGAAGUGCUAGCGUGUUUAGUAUGGGGGGGAAAGGGGACCACAGCGGCGAAAUGGAGAAAGUCCGCCACACUUGGGAAGGAGAGCUGAGGUAUUCUGAGUCGCAUCUCAGGUAGAGUACGUAGGAGCUAGACCAUCGGCACCUCAGACUUGUCCACGUCUGGGGUGGAGAGAUGUUUGUCCG